ACUCUAUAUUCAACAAUGAUUUUAAAUUGCAAAUUUAAAGGUGAGAGUAAAUCUCUAUAGUUUA
rnacentral:tRNA from 1 species